rnacentral:rRNA from 1 species
CCUACGGGUGGCAGCAGUGAGGAAUAUUGGUCAAUGGGCGAGAGCCUGAACCAGCCAAGUCGCGUGAGGGAGUACUGCCCUAUGGGUUGUAAACCUCUUUUGUCGGGGAGCAAAAGCCGGACGUGUCCGGCUGUGAGAGUACCCGAAGAAAAAGCAUCGGCUAACUCCGUGCCAGCAGCCGCGGUAAUACGGAGGAUGCGAGCGUUAUCGGGAUUUAUUGGGUUUAAAGGGUGCGCAGGCGGAUUUUUAAGUCAGCGGUAAAAUCGUGGGGCUCAACCCCAUCCAGCCGUUGAAACUGGGGAUCUAGAGUGUGCGAGAGGUAUGCGGAAUGCGUGGUGUAGCGGUGAAAUGCAUAGAUAUCACGCAGAACCCCGAUUGCGAAGGCAGCAUACCGGUGCACAACUGACGCUCAGGCACGAAAGCGUGGGUAUCGAACAGGAUUAGAUACCCGGGUAGUC